GUUUUAGUCAUGUGACGCAGUCAUGAUAUUGGUACUGGAGGGUAAAUGAUGACAGAAUUUAGAUUUUUGUGUGAAAUAUCCCUUUAAGACUAGACGAAAGCAGCAGCUCUUGGACAGAAGAUUGUUUGAAGAUGGAAUUAGAACGUUAUCUGUUAGAAAAGUUAUCAGAGACUCAAUAUUCUGCUAGAUUAGCCUUCAUCCUCUGAUCGGGUCAGUUUGACCCCAAAUGGCUUUAUUUUUUAAUAAUUGUGUCUUCACCUGAGUCACGCUAAAUCCAGACACAUUUAUUUUUACAUGCAUACCUAUUCUACACCUCAACAAUCCCUCUAAUUCAAUGACCAAAACAUCUUAUCACAAUGACUUGGAUCUUCUAAAACGGAACACUGGACAUCAUAAUGAUUUGAAUCUUCGGUUGUUACAUUCAUUCUGAAACGGAACACUGGACAUCAUAAUGAUUUGAAUCUUAAGCUGACACAUUCAUUGUGUACUUUUGCUGCCUAGAGACAAUGGAACUCCUCUUUUAAAAGUGUCAAUGUAAAAAUUCCACUGGAAUCACUCACCGUCAUCUCCAGCGGUCAAGCGUCAAGCCACUGAAAUGCACGCAAAACAUAGUAGUGUUCAGAGUAUGCUAGGAAUAAAAGACAUCUCCGUCUAUGCUUGCAGUGGCUGAAUGGGUACCGUCAAAGUAACUCUUAAUACAAGUUUAUUAGAAGAGCAAAUGAUUUGGGUUUCAACUUUACUACAGUGAAAAACUGAAACAUGUUCGCGGUCAUUCGAUGCAUCUAAUGACUUUACAAGUUCUCAUAAAGAAACGCUGAAUCAAAAUGUCAUUGUACAGUUUCUCUCUGCAUUGUGUAAACCUGUCUGGGGCUUCUUGAUCUAGAACAGUUAAGAGCUGCGCAGUGAUUGGUUCUUUAUAAAUUCAUUAGCUGGUUAGUCCACUCAUUAUGUGCGGAACUGAAAGUUGAUUGGUCCCUGACAGAUUCACAAUAAAAUGUUGUUUACUCGUAUAGCACUCAGGAUUGUGUGUAUAUGUACGUAAAGGGGAUUCCAAGCGUUUUUAUGUCAUCAGCUCAUCUGUCCAGUCUGUAGAUGUUUGUGUACCGCUGUGUGGUGUGUGUACUGUGUUCUCCUGCUAUACUUUAGGGCUGGACUUUUGUCUGUGGUCUAGUCAAUCGAAAUGCAUGAUGGAGUACAUAUUGGCAGAACUAUAACGGCAUGCUUUGACUGAAGACAUGCAUGAAUUUGAAGUUUACAAUGUUUGUUACUAAAAGGGACAACAAUGAUAGCUGCCUAUGUCAGAUCUCUUUUAUAAUAUUUUGGUAAGAGAUCAGUACUUACAGGAAUUGUUCCCCAAAAAAUGACAAUUUUCUAUAAAAAUAAAUAAAAUGUGCUCCCCUUCAGGCCAUCCAAGAUGUAGAUGAGGUUGUUUCUUCAUCAGAUGUGGGGAAAUGUAGCAUUCCAUCACUUGUUCAUCAAUGGAUCCUCUGCAGUGAAUGGGUGCCAUCAGAAUGAGAGUCCAAACAGCUGAUAAAAACAUCACAAUAAUCCACACCACUCCAGUCCAUCAGUUAAGCAAUGGUGAAAACAUUGGAUUUGUUUCUUACAAAAACUCGGGUUUUCACUUCACAAGAUGUUAACUGAUGGACUGGAGUGCUGUGGAUUAUUGUGAUGUUUUUAUCAUCUGUUUGGACUCUCAUUCUGACGGCACCCAUUCACUGCAGAGUUUUCAUUGGUGAGCAAGUGAUGUGAUGCUACAUUACUCCAAAUCUGUUCUCAUGAACAAGCAAACAAACUCAUCUACAUAUUGGAUGGCCUUAAUAAACAUUCAGCAAAGUUUCAGUUUUGGGUGAACUGUUCCUUUAAUAAACAACAUUUAAUUUAUUUAAGAACAGAUCAAGAUGUCUUCUUUUCAAGAAUGUCUUGAGGUAAAAAAAAAGGCACCAUUGACCUGUAUUUUCUCAUGCUUUGCCUCACAUAUUUUUUACAUUGAACAAUGUUCAUGCCUUUGUUUACAGUUGAGUAGAGAGAACUAUGCUCUCUGACAUAGAUAUUGUGCUAAUGAUAAAGCCUGAAAUCUUGUUUCAUACAUGCUCAACAUCAGCAUCAACAUAAACUGGCUUAAACAGACUGUUAAUCACUAGGUAGAGAAUGCAUUAGUAGAAAACCGGGGAAAAUGUUUCUUGUCUUUAACAGAGAUUUUCAUAUUUGAUAUCUGAAGCCCUGAAAGACGGGGCCAAUCCUAGAUUAGCAGAAUCCUAGAUCCGUUUUGUUCCCAAUUAUUGCCUUAAGAGACUUAUUGAUUAUUUAAUAUUUAACUAAUAACAUUUCAUAAUUGUAUCUGUAUUGUGUUACGUUAGUGUGUUUGUUUUCUCUGAGUGCAACAGAAACCAAAUUGAUUGAGACAAAAUGUGCAAUAUGCGAACCUACCCUGAGCAUCCGGCACAUCAGUAAACCCUUCAGUGAUACUUGGUGCCUAUCCCAAUCCCGUCAAUUACUUUGAGGAGAAAGUGCAAUAAAUCUGACAAAUGACAAGAAGAGUCAUAGAGAUUUUCUGAAAGUUGAUGUUUCAUUUUAUCAUCGCUGAUCUUAUGUUUCAUGUGGCAUCAGUCUGGAGAAUCUGGAGAAAUCACCCAUUGCCCUGAAUGUCAGAUGUUUACUCUUUUUACGACUCUGUUAAUGUCGAAAGCUUUGUAAAACUUUUUGGAAUUUGACUUUGUGACAUUUCCAGUAGGCGAUUUUUCUAUUUCCAAGUGUACUCAAAUGGGUAGGAACCUCAGUAGUUAUUGAUGUAAUAGUUUUUUGAUAACUAUUUCCAAGAUGUUUAGAUAUUCUCAGUAGAUUUACUUGGGUUGCAAGAAAUCACUGUAUGUUGUAUGAUAAUUCAGACUCCGUUUGCAGUGUUUAUUAAUGCAGCGAAUUCAUCUCUAUGCUGCAUUCUUACAUCUAUCUAUCUGUCUAUCUAUCUAUCAAUCUAUCUAUCUAUCAUUUGUUUUUCUAAUGAAUUACAAGUAAUAUGUCUCUGUAAAAAUGUUCCUUGUGCACUGAGCCAAGGCUAUUUUUAUUUAUUAAUUUAUUUACUUUUUAAAAAUGUAACUGAUAAUAACAGAGUUAAAUGCACUGUAGUUGUGACUGUCUCGUCUGUUGACUGUGUGAAGGGCAUGUUCAUUGGGUAAAGGGCCAUCUUGGCUUUUUGCAACACACGUCUUCAUGUUUUCUGGUGAUGAUGUUGCAUUUCUGAUGUCCACCAGCGGCUGGACUGUGUUCAUUACUGUAAAUGUGAAGUUAUACAUGUGCCUCUAAUGUACAAAAUGCAUGAAGUACCCAUUGUACGCAUGAGCUAUUAUCAGUGUCAAUGUUUACAUUUAUAUCCCAUCUUUUUUUUUUACAUGUAUUUUUUCACCCAAUUCAUUAGAGAUAUUAUAGAUUGGAAUUGGAAGUGGCAAAGGUAACCUAUUGACAAACAGUUUACAUCUGCUUAGAGAAAUGUGAAAAAGAGUUACUACUUUCCAUGUUAUGAAUCUGUCUUGUUGUCCUCACAGUUUUGUAUGUUGUCUGUCUUGCUCCCCGCUUGUUUUUGUGCACUUCUAUCUGUGAUCAAUCUCUUCUGCCUGUUAAAUUACUUUAAUAAUGACUGACAAUGUCCAAAAUGAUGUGACAUUAAUAUAUAUAAAAUACUGUUAUAAUUCACUAGAAAGUAACAUUUAAUAUUUUUGUUUGUUUUUUGUUGUUUUUGUUCAUUUUCUUAUGGAAGUAGCAUAAAAAGGCAAGACAAAACUAAAGGCGGAGGAGAUUUGUUUUGAAGAACAUGGCAUGAUGUGUACUGUGUCCCAAGAAGAAAAAAAUUAUGUAGCUGUUAGAGCUCAAGCAGACCUUAUUGAAUAUAGUUUAUUUAUUUUAAACA